ensembl:lncRNA
CUGCAAUUGCCCCCUUCCGGCUCUGGCUGCCUGUCACCGGAGGGGGAUGGUCUGCAGCCGGCUAGUUCUGUUCAGUCCUUUGUUCUGUGCACGGGCCUGGCGGUGUCUUAGGUUAGGGCUGGCUUUUCGCAUAGUAGUUAUCCCACAGUCUGGUUUGCUAGCCCAAGUUAGUUCACUCAGAUUGCGCUCAGGGCAUUCAGGCCAGAUCCUUACUCUAAGCAAUGCAGCCCGCGCCUCCCUGCCCAGCCCCCACUUGCUAGUGGCGGGUGCAGGCGUCUGCGCUGCUUCUCUGCUGGGGGAGUUACCGUUGGGCUUGUAAUCUGUGGGUUUUAAUUAUUUACUUAUUUUUCCUCCCUGUUAUGUUGCCCUCUGUGCUUCCAAGGCUCGCCACAAACUCAGCAGUGAGAGUGUUUCCUGGUGUUUGGAAACUUCUCUCUUUUUAAGACUCCCUGCCCGGGAUGGAGCUCAAUCCCUACCUCUUUUGUCUCCUUUUUUUGUCUUUUAUAUUUUUUCCUACCUCCUUUCGAAGACAAUGGGCUGCUUUUCUGGGUGCCUGAUGUCCUUUGCCGGCAUUCAGAAGUUGUUUUGUGGAAUUUACUCAGCGUUUAAAUAUUCUUUUGAUGAUUUUGUGGGGGAGAAAGUGGUCUCCCCGUCCUAUUCCUCUACCAUCUUAGGACCACCCCCUUACUGUUUCUUUGAUCAUGGCUUCUCUGGUUUUUUGUCCCCGUCAAGUAAACAAGCUUGCAGAGAAAAAAAAAAAGUUGUCAACUCUAUCAAGAUCUAGAAGAAUGCCACUGGAUAAGCUCUUGAUAAAUGCUCAUCGCACUCACUGCUGCUGCUGCAGCUGCUAAGUCGCUUCAGUCGUGUCCGACUCUGUGCGACCCCAUAGACGGCAGCCCACCAGGCUCCACCGUCCCCAGGAUUCUCCAGGUUUUACCCCAUGGCUUCAGCUAUUUUACUGCUAAAAGUUAUCACUGAGAUGGAAUCAGCCUCAGCCUUCUAUAUUUGAUCCUACUGGAUUCGGCCAGAAUGUCCCUUGAUUUGUUUCACUGCGACUACUUUCCAGCCCUAUCAUAUCUCUCUUAUCUCUAAUCAGUUUCUAUUCAUUCAAAUAAAAUGAUGAGUGACAUCAAAAAUA